AUUGUCAAACAUAUCUAUCUGAACUCAACUGGUCUACCUUGAUUUUGGGAGCAAAGCAGAGUCAGGCCAGGUUAGUAAUUAGAUGGGAGACCACUAAGGAACACUAGAGAUCUUCAAGU
rnacentral:rRNA from 1 species